UACAGGGGGGGCAAGCGUUGUUCGGAAUUACUGGGCGUAAAGGGCCAGUAGGCGGCCAACUAAGUCCGACGUGAAAUCCCCAGGCUUAACCUGGGAACUGCGUCGGAUACUGGAUGGCUUGAAUUCGGGAGAGGGAUGCAGAAUUCCAGGUGUAGCGGUGAAAUGCGUAGAUAUCUGGAGGAGUACCGGUGGCGAAGGCGGCAUCCUGGACCGACAUUGACGCUGAACGGCGAAAGCUAGGGGAGCAAACGGG
rnacentral:rRNA from 1 species